UAUUGGUUAGCCAAAAGCUCAGGCAGUGUGACUCCUUUCAUUUCGAAAAGUUUGUAGAAGAACAUUCUGCUACUGGAGAUGCUGGGAAAAAGCCUAGCAAAACAUUGAUGUUUAUUGAGGGCUGUCCUACUCGUCUGGGAUGUACAAUUUUGUUAAUGGGAUCGAACAGUGAUGAAUUGAAGAAGAUUAAACAUGUAGUCAAAGAUGCGAUCAUCGUGGCGUACAAUUUAAUCCUAGAGACUUCGUUCCUUCUGGAUCAAAAAGCAAUGUUCUCAACUCUACCUCUUAGCCAGGAGGUGAAUCUAACACUUGGUAACGAAACACCAUCUGUUAGUGAUGGGCAAGGAAUUAUCUCUAACACUGAGGAGCAUGUCGGUGAAAUAAGUUCAUCUGGUACAGUUGAUAUUCCAAUAUCCAAUGGCUUCCAUGAAGAAAUAAGUCAUAAGUUAGACGCACAAAGCGAAUCUCUACAAUAUGAGCCAUACAACCCAGUCG
rnacentral:misc_RNA from 1 species